rnacentral:rRNA from 1 species
UACGGGGGGAGCAAGCGUUGUUCGGAUUUACUGGGCGUAAAGGGCGCGUAGGCGGCCACUGCAAGUCAGUUGUGAAAUCUCCGGGCUUAACUGGGGAACUGCGUCUGAUACUGGCGAGCUUGAGUGCAGGAGAGGAACGCGGAAUUCCAGGUGUAGCGGUGAAAUGCGUAGAUAUCUGGAGGAACACCGGUGGCGAAGGCGGCGUUCUGGACUGCAACUGACACUGAUGAACGAAAGCCAGGGGAGCAAACGGG